rnacentral:rRNA from 1 species
UGUGUUUUUCUUUGAAACAAACUUGCUUUGGCGGUGGGCCCAGCCUGCCGCCAGAGGUCUAAACUUACAACCAAUUUUUUAUCAACUUGUCACACCAGAUUAUUACUAAUAGUCAAAACUUUCAACAACGGAUCUCUUGGUUCUCGCAUCGAUGAAGAACGCAGCGAAAUGCGAUACGUAAUAUGAAUUGCAGAUAUUCGUGAAUCAUCGAAUCUUUGAACGCACAUUGCGCCCUCUGGUAUUCCGGAGGGCAUGCCUGUUUGAGCGUCGUUUCUCCCUCAAACCGCUGGGUUUGGUGUUGAGCAAUACGACUUGGGUUUGCUUGAAAGACGGUAGUGGUAAGGCGGGAUCGCUUUGACAAUGGCUUANGUCUAACCAAAAACAUUGCUUGCGGCGGUAACGUCUACCACGUAUAUCUUCAAACUUUGACCUCAAAUCAGGUAGGACUACCCGCUGAACUUAAGCAUAUCAAUAAGCGGAGGAAAGGAUCAUUACUGAUUUGCUUAAUUGCACCACAUGUGUUUUUCUUUGAAACNAACUUGCUUUGGCGGUGGGCCCAGCCUGCCGCCNAGGUCUAAACUUA